CGGGGCGGGGAGGCGAGGGGAGGCUCGGGGAGUCCGGGCCCCUCCGGAGGGGGCCGCGGGCUCAGGGCGGCGGAGGCCGGGAAGAGGGGCGCGGGUGGAGGCGCUUGGAUGUGGGGAGUUCCCUCAGAGGGGCGCGGAGUCCGGCCGGAAAGUGCGACUCAAGGCGCCGAAAGGGCCAGGAAGGGGGCCGGGGAGGGGCCUGUCGCCCCAACUGAAAGGCACAGUCACCUGCAAAGGAGGAGCCGUGAGCGGAAGCAGAACGAGGACCUCACGGACACCCUGGAGCGCUCCACUGCGGGCUCGGCGUCUUGACGUCACCGCCGGCGCGCGCAGGGCACGUCGGAAGUUGGCCCCGGAAGGCCAGGGGAGGUACCCUGAGGGUGCGUCGGAAGCAGACGGGAUCCAAAACCUCCAACCCUAUUGCUUUCUAUCAUGCCCAACCAUCUCAAAAUGGCCAGUUAACUAAUGGUACCAUUAACUUGUUUUCCAGGAUUAUAAAAGGUCAGUUUUUCUUUUCUUUUUCUUUCUUUCUUUCUUUCUUUUUUUUUUUUUAAAGGACCACCUUUUAUUUUACCUUAAUGAUGUCUCCAAAGGGAAGAGAAGUAAAUCUUUAUGCUCAAUCAAUCCAAUGUGUUAAACCAAAACAGCGUUUAUUUGUAGUCUCAAAAACUUCACCCUGUUAGAUGGUGAACAGAAAUUGAGGAUGAUUUCCUAUUAAGCCAUCAUUUUAUACAAUAAACUCAAGCAGAUUAACAAGGAAACACUAAGCCAAAGACAAUUUACAAGGAGGUGUAAAACAUGGAAACAGUUGUGAGAUACAAUUUCAA
rnacentral:lncRNA from 1 species